GGCCGCAACACACAGAGUAUGAACAUUUCGGACUUAUUUGGUGGUCGUCUUUAGCAAGACAAGAGUCCGUUGCCAGAGCCAGCACGAGCAGCGGUGAUAUUUCGCAAACACGAAAGAACGAGUGGUAUAAUGUUUGAAGAGGAUCCAGCUGUGGAGAGAGGAGAGGAUCCUCUAGAAAGCACCGUCAUCGUUAUGAGGGCGCUCGAGGCCUGACGAAAGCGACAUAGAAGAGGAAGCGGCGCAUCGUCUACCUCCGGA